AUGGUUGAUCAAUGAUUAAGAAUCAUUCUAAGGUUAAAUGAUCAAUACGAUUGAUAUUUAACCUAGUGCAAGUAUUGCAGGAGGAUCGAUUAGCAAUUUGAUUGCUAAUUGGCUUAAUUUGAUUAAGAGAAUGGGCUGAGAUUAAGUUUAAUUGAAUAUAAUUUAAUUAUUUUUAGUUUAGACUUGAUUGGAUCAAGUCUAAUUGGUUUAUUGGAUAAGCCAAGUGCAAGAAAAAAACUAGUCC
rnacentral:lncRNA from 1 species